GCGGAAUGAGAAGUUUUGCGUUUGCAGGCUCUCGUGUUCAGUUAGUGUUUAGCCAAGAUUUUAACCAAUUGCUGUGCUUUAUCCCCAGUUUAUUACUUCUUUUUGUAACUUUUUGAAACUAUUUCAGCCGUUUUUUUUGUUCUUCUUUAUUGUCUGGAGUCUAUUUACGGAAGCUAGCAUGUCCGACCGUGACUACAACCGGUCGGCUCUUCAAGAGGCCUGCGACGAGGAUGUUAUUGAGGAAAUUGAGCUGGUCGGGUCCUUCUGUUAAAGAACAGAAGGUGAAUUGGGAUCACACACCUCUUAAGAACAAAAGUAAGAAGAAACUGAAGCUUAUGGAGUCUGACGGUAAGGAGGACUCCGCUAACGCUGUUCUUCGUGCGCACCACCAGGGGAGCAGCUACUCUUGACAGUCAUGACAUGUAACAUCUGCGAAGGACACAGCUGAGCUUGAUGUGAACUAGACGCUGCCGCUCUGCGCUCCUGCUCCCCGCUGGGGCUUUCCUGUACGCUUUUGCAACGAGUCUUGUUUGAGGCC